rnacentral:rRNA from 1 species
AUGUAUGAUCAAAUGAUCUUAUCAAGACCACACAAUCUGAUCUUGGAAGCUAAGCAAGGUCGGUCCUGGUUACUACUUGGAUGGGGGACCACCUAGGAAGACCAGGUGCUAUAGGCA